rnacentral:rRNA from 1 species
AUCGAACGCUGGCGGCAGGCCUAACACAUGCAAGUCGAGCGGAGCGGCGGACGGGUGAGUAAUGCCUAGGACUCUGCCUGGUAGUGGGGGAUAACGUCCGGAAACGGGCGCUAAUACCGCAUACUAUCAGAUGAGCCUAGGUCGGAUUAGCUAGUUGGUGGGGUAAUUGCCUACCAAGCCGACGAUCCGGAACUGAUCUGAGAGGAUGAUCAGUCACACUGGAAGUGAGACACGGUCCAGGCUCCUACGGGAGGCAGGAGUGGGAAUUGUUGGACAAUGGGCGAAAGCCUGAUCCAGCCAUGCCGCGUGUGUGAAGAAGGUCUUCGGAUUUAAAAGCACUUUAAGUUGGGAGGCGGUACCAACACAGUAAGCACCGGCUAACUUCGUGCCAGCAGCCGCGGUAAUUC